rnacentral:rRNA from 1 species
CCUACGGGAGGCAGCAGUGGGGAAUAUUGCACAAUGGGGGGAACCCUGAUGCAGCGACGUCGCGUGGGUGAGGAAGUACCUCUGUAUUUAAAGCCCUAUCAGCAGGGAAGAAAAUGACGGUACCUGACUAAGAAGCCCCGGCUAACUACGUGCCAGCAGCCGCGGUAAUACGGAGGGGGCAAGCGUUAUCCGGAUUUACUGGGUGUAAAGGGAGCGUAGACGGCAGGUCAAGUCUGAUGUGAAAGGCCGGGGCUCAACCCCGGGACUGCAUUGGAAACUGGCAUGCUGGAGUGCCGGAGGGGCAAGCGGAAUGCGUAGUGUAGCGGUGAAAUGCGUAGAUAUUAGGAGGAACACCGGUGGCGAAGGCAGCUUGCUGGACUGUAACUGACGUUGAGGCUCGAAAGCGUGGGGAGCAAACAGGAUUAGAUACCCGAGUAGUC